ensembl:rRNA 5S_rRNA 5S ribosomal RNA
AUCUACAGCCAUUCCACCCUGAACGUGCCCUAUGUCUUCUGAUCUUGGAAGCUAAGCAGGGUCGGGCCUGGUUAGUACUCGGAAGGGAGGAAGAGAAAAAUCAGUAUAGAACAUA